rnacentral:rRNA from 1 species
UACGGAGGGUGCGAGCGUUGUCCGGAACCACUGGGCGUAAAGGGCGCGUAGGUGGCCUGUGGAAGUCUGCGGUGAAAGCCCGGCGCUCAACGCCGGGUCGGCCGUGGAUACUCUCGGGCUUGAGCUUACUAGAGGCAGAUGGAAUUCCGGGUGUAGCGGUGGAAUGCGUAGAGAUCCGGAAGAACACCGGUGGCGAAGGCGGUCUGCUGGGGUAAUGCUGACACUGAUGCGCGACAGCGUGGGGAGCAAACAGG